rnacentral:rRNA from 1 species
GAUGAACGCUGGCGGCGUGCCUAAUACAUGCAAGUCGAGCGAACAGACGAGGAGCUUGCUCCUCUGACGUUAGCGGCGGACGGGUGAGUAACACGUGGAUAACCUACCUAUAAGACUGGGAUAACUUCGGGAAACCGGAGCUAAUACCGGAUAAUAUAUUGAACCGCAUGGUUCAAUAGUGAAAGACGGUUUUGCUGUCACUUAUAGAUGGAUCCGCGCCGCAUUAGCUAGUUGGUAAGGUAACGGCUUACCAAGGCAACGAUGCGUAGCCGACCUGAGAGGGUGAUCGGCCCCACUGGAACUGAGACACGGUCCCGGCUCCUACGGGAGGCCGCAGUAGGGAAUCUUCCGCAAUGGGCGAAAGCUUGACGGAGCAACGCCGCGUGAGUGAUGAAGGUCUUCGGAUCGUAAAACUCUGUUAUUAGGGAAGAACAAAUGUGUAAGUAACUAUGCACGUCUUGACGGUACCUAAUCAGAAAGCCACGGCUAACUACGUG